rnacentral:rRNA from 1 species
CCUACGGGUGGCAGCAGUGAGGAAUAUUGGUCAAUGGGCGCGAGCCUGAACCAGCCAAGUAGCGUGAAGGAUGACGGCCCUACGGGUUGUAAACUUCUUUUAUAAAGGAAUAAAGUGAGGCACGUGUGCCGUUUUGUAUGUACGUUAUGAAUAAGGAUCGGCUAACUCCGUGCCAGCAGCCGCGGUAAUACGGAGGAUCCGAGCGUUAUCCGGAUUUAGUGGGGUUAAAGGGAGCGUAGAUUGGUUGUUAAGUCAGUUGUGAAAGUUUGCGGCUCAACCGUAAAAUUGCAAUUGAUACUGGCAGCCUUGCGUACAGUUGAGGUCGGCGUCAUUCGUGUUGUAGCGG